rnacentral:lncRNA from 1 species
UGGUGGAAGUGCUGGCACCAUACGAUAUGGGAACUUCUGCAGCAGCAUCUCAUGGAACACCACAAAAUCAUUAUACCGCCUAUAGACGGAGCAUUUGAAUCUCUUGCUGGAAACUUCAUAUUCCACAUGUUUCAGAAAAAGGCCCUUCUUCUCAGGUAUAAGCUCCACCUGCACGCUAUCCUUGCUCAAUAGCUCUUGCAGGGUAUGGGGAAGCAGCAGUGGAUUUCCCGGGGGUGCCUGCAUUAGGAAUUGCUCCGAUUCCCGCGGUUCAUUUACUGGAGGCUUUGCAAAAUCUGUACCGACACCCGCGCUGCCUGCGGGCGGGUCGCCGUCCAUCGCGACUACAGUCAUG